CAGCACACCAGACUCGUGCACACUCCCAUGGGUCGCCUGACUUCCCAAACUAUCAGCUUUGCAAGAGACAUGGGGAUUUACUAAGCGUGCAACCCUAGUAAGGACUCAAUCCUACAUGCUCCUGGGUGAGGUCUAGUUGAGGGCACAACCAGCGUAAUAUGCACUGAUUCAGGGAUUAUCUCCCAUUUUAAACUGCAAGUCCAGUUUCAGGAAGACGUGGCCUGACAUAAGCCCUAGAGCUGACAUUAACUUUUUUUUUUUUUUUUUUUGAGACAAGAGUCUCGCUCUGUAGCCCAGGAGGCAGAGGUUGCAGUGACCCGAGAUCACAUCACUGCACUCCAGCAUGGGUGACAGAGCAAGACUGUCUCAAAAAGAAAAAAAAAAAA
rnacentral:lncRNA from 1 species